UACACUCCUACGGGAGGCAGCAGUGGGGAAUAUUGGACAAUGGGCGCAAGCCUGAUCCAGCCAUGCCGCGUGAGUGAUGAAGGCCCUAGGGUUGUAAAGCUCUUUCACCGGUGAAGAUAAUGACGGUAACCGGAGAAGAAGCCCCGGCUAACUUCGUGCCAGCAGCCGCGGUAAUACGAAGGGGGCUAGCGUUGUUCGGAUUUACUGGGCGUAAAGCGCACGUAGGCGGACUAUUAAGUCAGGGGUGAAAUCCCGGGGCUCAACCCCGGAACUGCCUUUGAUACUGGUAGUCUUGAGUUCGAGAGAGGUGAGUGGAAUUCCGAGUGUAGAGGUGAAAUUCGUAGAUAUUCGGAGGAACACCAGUGGCGAAGGCGGCUCACUGGCUCGAUACUGACGCUGAGGUGCGAAAGCGUGGGGAGCAAACAGGAUUAGAUACCCUAGUAGUCCC
rnacentral:rRNA from 1 species